rnacentral:lncRNA from 1 species
AUUUAUGCACAAUUAUCUAAUAAAUUCGAAUGUUGUCUCGAAUGUCUUUCCAACACCUAAUGUUAUUUUUCUGUCGAAUUUUAAAUUUCAAAAUUUAAAAUUUAACAGCAGUGCGCGUUAAUAUCGAUAAUCAAGGUAAAUAUGCUUUUUAAUAUUUUAUUCUUUCUACAGUAUUUUAUUUUUUUAAUAUUUUAAAUUUAUUUAUCAGGUUCAAUUUAUUUAGCAACGAGUUUUGCAAGUAAAAUUGUGCUUAAUACACCGAUUGCAGAAAUUGAAGAAAUAAAACUAAGGUAAAAUAUUUUACUUAGUGAAUUAUUAUUGAAUUUCUAUUUUUUUACUAAUUUUAUGAUGAUUUACUAAUAUUUACUUUUUCUUACUUUCAGUCUAUUUGAAUAUAAGCAAAUGACUGGGAGGGAGCCGAAAUUUUCAUUAAGUAAUGAUUAAAAAUUCAUAUUUUAUUUCAACUUUUUUAUUUGUUAAAUAAUGAAAUGAUGAUGAUAUUUAGGUUAGUUUAGUUAUGAAUUUUAUAUUUUUGUUUUGAUGACACAGUAAUAAAUAUUGUGUCCUUCUUUUGAUGAUACUAUGAUUUAUUUGUUAUUUCUGUCUAAUUAUUUUGGUAAUAAUUAAAUACUAUAUAUCUAAUUUAUUUAUUUAUAAAAAUUUUUAUUUUUUAAUAUUUGUGUGAGGUGCAUUGCAUUGCACGUGUACUUAACUAGUUUAAAAUAAAAGCGCAACUACCGUACCCCAAUUUGCCAUCUUUGCCGACUCCGCAUCACACUUCAGUAACAAGUUGCUCCUCGAGACCACGACGGUUCGGUAAAUAGCCUCUUUAUCUCUAUUCAAAAAAUAUAAUUCUUCUUUUUAUAAUUUAUUUAAAUUUUAAUAUUAAUAAAAAUUUUAUUAUUGUGCUUUCAAAAGCACCACUCAUAUUAUUUUUUUAAGAGGAUCAUUAAAUUUUAAAAAAUCACUAUCAUCCUUAAUUCUAUAAUUCAAUCCAAAAACUAAAAUAUAAUAUCAGUGUGAGUCGGUCCUCCUGAUAUUAUAAAAGAUAUUAAAUAGAGACGAAGUGGUAGCAGAUCUGAGUCUCUGCAGGUGAAGUUUUAUCUCCACGUCACCUUGGUUAAAAUACUAAUCUAAUUAUUAUAGUUGAGUUAGUAUUAUUGUUUUGUGUGGAGGCUUAUUAAAAAAGAAAAGAAUUGGAGAAAUCGAGUUAAACGAACGGAUGAGGUAAUCGGAGGAGGGAAUGGCGGACGGCUACAGAAUCAUAGAGCGGUGGACGCUGCGAUCGCUGGUGGGCGCCUUUCUGGACCUGGCGAUCGCCUACAUCUUCCUCUGCGCCGCCGCCGCCGCCUUCGCCGCCGCCAAAUUCUUCUCCUUCUUCGGCGUCCACCUCUCCUGCCUGCACUCCCCUCCCUUCCCCCUCCGCCCCUCCCCCUCCC